CAAGCAGGGGAGGAAAACACUUGUACUUCUUGCAAUGACUGUGAUAGUAGUCAGGAGGUGCGCGUAGUGGCCACAGUAGCCAAGUGUCAUGUCAUCAAAUAAAGUAAACAAGCGUCGUCUCCUCAAGUCUCAGUGGACAAGCGUGUCAUCAAAUCACAGUAGACAAGCAUCGUGUCAACGGAAUCACAAUGUCAUCAAAUCGAAAAACCAGUCCUGAGGCUGCCAUCCUGGAGACAGAGAGUACAGCGAUGGGUGCACACAGGGUAUAUAAAAGAUGUCCGCAAAAGCAUCAAAGCUGUCAAGUGAGAGAAGGCUCUUUUGCGUCAACAAAGAAGAUGCAGUUGUCAGGUGCAAGCCUUGUCAAGGUGUUGUCAGCAAUCAGAACAGAGACAUGCUCACAUCUCGUGACCCGACUGUCAAGAUCCAGCAGAAUCAUUGCCAGGAUUGAGUGACACGACUGUGAAGAACCAGGGAUACGAAUGCCAAUAUUUAUAUGUUUUACAACUUUGUAGUGACACGAUUGUCAGAACCUAGUGACACGAUUGUCUGGACAGCCACGCAUGCAGUUGUUGGUGUUGUUGUUUACACCACCUUGUCCGCAUAGAGAAGAAAGUCACAUAGCUGAUGUGGUAAAAAAGCCAAGAAGCAAAGGUCAUCUGGACGGUAUGUGGAAUACUUGCCGUGACCUUGCUUCUCCUGCACGUGCUGGCGUCAUCACCAUAUCUUAGCAAGUGGGAUUCCCGUGGAAAAUAACCGUAAUUAUCGAGUAAUAGACGGUUGGCUUGAGUGAAACGACACGCUGCAAUCAGGAUAUGAAGUAAACAAACAAACAAACAAACAAACAAACAAAACAAAAACAAACAAAAACAAACAAACAAACAAAAAAGUUCUUCACUUUAUCAAGUCUUGAUUAAUUUGCACAGAGCAUGAAA